rnacentral:rRNA from 1 species
AGUCGAGCGGAGAUGAGGUGCUUGCACCUUAUCUUAGCGGCGGACGGGUGAGUAAUGCUUAGGAAUCUGCCUAUUAGUGGGGGACAACAUUCCGAAAGGAAUGCUAAUACCGCAUACGUCCUACGGGAGAAAGCAGGGGAUCUUCGGACCUUGCGCUAAUAGAUGAGCCUAAGUCGGAUUAGCUAGUUGGUGGGGUAAAGGCCUACCAAGGCGACGAUCUGUAGCGGGUCUGAGAGGAUGAUCCGCCACACUGGGACUGAGACACGGCCCAGACUCCUACGGGAGGCAGCAGUGGGGAAUAUUGGACAAUGGGGGGAACCCUGAUCCAGCCAUGCCGCGUGUGUGAAGAAGGCCUUAUGGUUGUAAAGCACUUUAAGCGAGGAGGAGGCUACUGAGACUAAUACUCUUGGAUAGUGGACGUUGCUCGCAGAAUAAGCACCGGCUAACUCUGUGCCAGCAGCCGCGGUAAUACAGAGGGUGCGAGCGUUAAUCGGAUUUACUGGGCGUAAAGCGUGCGUAGGCGGCUUUUUAAGUCGGAUGUGAAAUCCCCGAGCUUAACUUGGGAAUUGCAUUCGAUACUGGGAAGCUAGAGUAUGGGAGAGGAUGGUAGAAUUCCAGGUGUAGCGGUGAAAUGCGUAGAGAUCUGGAGGAAUACCGAUGGCGAAGGCAGCCAUCUGGCCUAAUACUGACGCUGAGGUACGAAAGCAUGGGGAGCAAACAGGAUUAGAUACCCUGGUAAUCCAUGCCGUAAACGAUGUCUACUAGCCGUUGGGGCCUUUGAGGCUUUAGUGGCGCAGCUAACGCGAUAAGUAGACCGCCUGGGGAGUACGGUCGCAAGACUAAAACUCAAAUGAAUUGACGGGGGCCCGCACAAGCGGUGGAGCAUGUGGUUUAAUUCGAUGCAACGCGAAGAACCUUACCUGGCCUUGACAUACUAGAAACUUUCCAGAGAUGGAUUGG